UCGACGUGGGAGGUGGUGCGAAAGUCCGAAUGGCAGCCCAUGGUUGUCAGUUUGGAAUGGAAUCAAUUUUAGCAUUUGAAUUGAGAAACAACUGGAGGGCAAGUCUGGUGCCAGCAGCCGCGGUAAUUCCAGCUCCAGUAGCGUAUCUCAAAGUUGCUGCGCUUAAAACGCUCGUAGUUGGAUCACUGACCAUGCGUCGGACAACUGCAGAGGGUCACUGUAAACUUUUCUUGUGAACUACAUGUUCUCAUGUCAGUUUCAUGGUUGAGUUGGUGGAACUUUGUGGUAUUAAACCGGCGUAUGGUAAUUGCAUGUGAGGAUGACCGUUGACCUUCANUGCGUUGAUGGUCGUGUCUCACAGGGUGUGCCUUGAGUAAAUCAGAGUGCUCAAAGCAGGCGUUAUGCCUGAAUGUUUUUAGCAUGGAACGAACAAUCGUGUAUGGUGUGUAUCGAGAUUGGUAUAUAUGGUGCUCGCAUCAAUAUGCUACGAUACACGACACCGACCGCCAAUUACGGAUGUUGGUUCCGUAUUGGGGUACUGAUUAAGAGGAGCGGUUGGGGGCAUUGGUAUUUGGCAGCGAGAGGUGAAAUUCUUGGACCUGCCAAGGACUAACAAAUGCGAAGGCAUCUGUCCAGACCGUAUCCAUUAAUCAAGAACGAUAGUGAGAGGUUCGAAGACGAUCAGAUACCGUCCUAGUUCUCACUGUAAACUAUGCCGACCCGGGAUCAGUUUAAGAGUAUUUAACGCUCGAGGUUGGUCCCCCUGGGAAACCUUAAGUUUUUCGGUUGCGGGGGGAGUAUGGUCGCAAGGCUGAAACUUAAAGGAAUUGACGGAAGGGCACCACCAGGGGUGGAGCCUGCGGCUCAAUUUGACUCAACACGGGAAAACUUACCUGGUCCGAACAUCAAAAGGAUUGUCAGACCAAUAGAUCUUACAUAAUUCUGAUGAUUGGUGGUGCAUGGCCGUUA
rnacentral:rRNA from 1 species